rnacentral:rRNA from 1 species
UAGAUGCGAGAGUAGAGCAUAUCAAUAAGCGGAGGAAAAGAAACUAACAAGGAUUCCCUUAGUAACGGCGAGUGAAGCGGGAAGAGCUCAAAUUUGAAAUCUUCAAGGUUCUACCUUGACGAAUUGUAGUUUAUAGAAGUGUUUUCUGUUAGUAGAGUGGCAAAAGUUCUUUGGAAUAGGACAUCAUAGAGGGUGAGAAUCCCGUAUUUGGUCAUUCUUUCUACUAGCUUUGUGAUACACUUUCAAAGAGUCGGAUUGUUUGGGAAUGCAGUCCAAAAUGGGUGGUAAAUUUCAUCUAAAGCUAAAUAUUGGCGAGAGACCGAUAGCGAACAAGUACCGUGAGGGAAAGAUGAAAAGAACUUUGAAAGAGAGUUAAACAGUACGUGAAAUUGUCAAAAGGGAAGCGUUUCGACACCAGUGUUGUUUUUCCGAAAAUCAAUUACGAAUGUUUUGUUUUUAAGAAGUUAUGACUUCAUCGGCUUGCUUCUUUCUUUACGAAACUUUCUUAAUGCACUUUUCGGUUAACAAGUCAACAUCAAUUUCUUUUGUUGUAAAAGGGUAUGAGGAAGGUGGCUUUCAUUUCGGAUGAAAGUGUUUAUAGCCUUUGACUUCUGCAAUCGGAGAGAUUGAGGUCUGCAGCGUAGAUCCUUCGGGGUUAGAUAGCAUUUGUGCUAAGUUAUAGCCUUUCGAUAGACAACUUGUUGACUAUGAUUCAGUCAUUGUAGCUUACUCGCUUACUGCUAUUUUACCUACGCUUAGGAUGUUAACGAGACUGUCGAUCUC